rnacentral:sRNA from 1 species
UCAAAAUUCGCGCCGAAAUUGCGCGUUCUGUACAGAACGCGUAUACUUCUGCUGUUGACAUAACACAGUGUGUUUCGCGGCUACCACCCGCAUCACACCGUAAAAACCUCGCUUCGGCGGGGUUUUUU